rnacentral:misc_RNA from 1 species
GAUGAAGAACGUAGCGAAAUGCGAUAAGUAAUGUGAAUUGCAGAAUUCAGUGAAUCAUCGAAUCUUUGAACGCACAUUGCGCCCGCUAGUAUUCUGGCGGGCAUGCCUGUUCGAGCGUCAUUUCAACCAUCAAGCCCCAGGCUUGUGUUGGAGCCCUGCGGCUGCCGCAGCCUCCCAAAACCAGUGGCGGGCUCGCUAUCACACCGAGUGCAGUAGUUUACUCUUCGCUCAGGGCGUGUGGCGGGUGCUAGCCGUGAAACCCCCAACUUCUCAAGGUUGACCUCGGAUCAGGUAGGAAUACCCGCUGAACUUAAGCAUAUCAAUAAGCGGAGGA